rnacentral:miRNA from 1 species
UCGAGAUCUCUACGAGAUUACAG